rnacentral:rRNA from 1 species
GCCUAAAUCCUAGCCCCCAUCAACCUAAACAACAAAUAAACAAAUAACAAAACAUUCUUUUAUUUAGUAACGGCGAUUAAAAAAUAAAUAAGAGCUAUAUAAACAGUACCGCAAGGGAAACAUGAAAUAAAAUGAAAACACAAAGCAAACUACAGCAAAGAUUAACCCUUGUACCUUUUGCAUCAUGGUCUAGCCAGUCUAAUCAAGCAAAACGCACUUAAAGUUUGACCCCCCGAAACUAGGCGAGCUACUCUAAAACAAUCACAGAACUAACCCAUCCCUGUUACAAAAGGGUGGGAUGAUUUUAAAGUAGAGGUGAUACACCUACCGAGCCCAGAAAUAGCUGGUUAUUCAAAAGACGGAUUUAAGUCCAACUCUAAGCUUCUCUUAGUAAUACUAAACACCAACAAGCUUAAAAGUCACUCAAAUAAGGUACAGCCUAUUUGAACAAGGAGACAACCUACAAUUUAGGGUAAUGACAUUAUACACGACUAAGUAGGCCUAAAAGCAGCCAACUUUCAAAAAGCGUCUAAGCAUCAUCACACCACAUCCAUAAUUCCACAACUAACCCAAAACCCCCAAACAUCACUGAAUGACCCCAUACCCAUAUGGUAAACAUUAUGCUAGAACUAGUAACAAGAAGACGAACUUCUCCAAAAUGCAAGCGUAAGCCAAAAUGAACCCACCACCGGCAAUUACCGCUACCACAGUACCAACCCCUACAAGAAAACCCUACUUUACCUAGCGCCAACCUUACACUAGAAUAUUACCGGAAAGAUUAAAAGACGGGGAAGGAAUUCGGCAAAUACUAGCCCCGCCUGUUUACCAAAAACAUCGCCUCCUGACAACUAUGGGAGGUCCAGCCUGCCCAGUGACUAAUAGUUAAACGGCCGCGGUACCCUAACCGUGCAAAGGUAGCACAAUCACUUGUCCUCUAAAUCAGGACUAGUAUGAACGGCCCCACGAGAGCUAUGCUGUCUCCCCCCUCUAAUCAGUGAAACUGAUCCCCUCGUGAAGAAGCGAGGAUACCCCCAUAAGACGAGAAGACCCCAUGGAACUUUAAACUAGCACCACCUCUCUUCCUAUACCACACCAACAGAACCACAUGACUGCUAGUCUUUCGGCUGGGGCAGCCACGGGGAAAAACAGAACCCCCGAGAUAAAAAGAACCCCCUCUAAUCCAAGAACUACCAUUCAAAGAAUCAACAAAUGACAUUAUUGACCCAACAAUUGACCAACGAACCAAGCUACCCUGGGGAUAACAGCGCAAUCCAUUUCAAGAGACCUCAUCAACAAAUGGGCUUACGACCUCGAUGUUGGAUCAGGGCAUCCCGGUGGUGCAGCCGCUACCAAAGGUUCGUUUGUUCAACGAUUAAAACCCU